AGGUCCAUGGAGCUUGCUCCGGACGACCUAGUGGCGAACGGGUGCGUAACACGUGAGGAACCUGCCCCGAUCUCUGGGAUAACAGUUGGAAACGACUGCUAAUACCGGAUGCCGUCACCUCGCCUCCUGGCGGAGUGACGAAAGAUUCAUCGGAUCGGGAGGGUCUCGCGGCCUAUCAGCUAGUUGGAGAGGUAACGGCUCACCAAGGCAUCGACGGGUAGCUGGUCUGAGAGGAUGAUCAGCCACACUGGGACUGAGACACGGCCCAGACUCCUACGGGAGGCAGCAGUGGGGAAUCUUGCACAAUGGGCGAAAGCCUGAUGCAGCAACGCCGCGUGCGGGAAGAAGGCCCUAGGGUUGUAAACCGCUUUCAGUAGGGAAGAAAAUGACGGUACCUACAGAAGAAGGUGCGGCCAACUACGUGCCAGCAGCCGCGGUGACACGUAGGCACCAAGCGUUAUCCGGAUUUAUUGGGCGUAAAGAGCUCGUAGGCGGUUCGGUAAGUCGGGUGUGAAAACUCUGGGCUCAACCCAGAGAGGCCACCCGAUACUGCUGUGACUCGAGUGCGGUAGGGGAGCGGGGA
rnacentral:rRNA from 1 species